UGCAGUCGACGAACCUUCGGGUUAGUGGCGGACGGGUGAGUAACGCGUGAGAAUCUGCCCUCAGGAGGGGGAUAACAGUUGGAAACGACUGCUAAUACCCCAUAUGCCGAGAGGUGAAACGAAUUUUGCCUGGGGAUGAGCUCGCGUCUGAUUAGCUUGUUGGUGGGGUAAAAGCCUACCAAGGCUUCGAUCAGUAGCUGGUCUGAGAGGACGAUCAGCCACACUGGGACUGAGAUACGGCCCAGACUCCUACGGGAGGCAGCAGUGGGGAAUUUUCCGCAAUGGGCGCAAGCCUGACGGAGCAACGCCGCGUGAGGGAUGAAGGCCUUUGGGCUGUAAACCUCUUUUCUCAAGGAAGAAGAUCUGACGGUACUUGAGGAAUAAGCCACGGCUAAUUCCGUGCCAGCAGCCGCGGUAAUACGGGAGUGGCAAGCGUUAUCCGGAAUUAUUGGGCGUAAAGCGUCCGCAGGCGGCCGUUUAAGUCUGUUGUUAAAUCGUGGAGCUCAACUCCAUCACGGCAAUGGAAACUGUUCGGCUUGAGUAUGGUAGGGGCAGAGGGAAUUUCCGGUGUAGCGGUGAAAUGCGUAGAUAUCGGGAAGAACACCAGUGGCAAAAGCGCUCUGCUGGGCCAUUACUGACGCUCAUGGACGAAAGCCAGGGGAGCGAAAGGGAUUAGAUACCCCUGUAGUCCUGGCCGUAAACGAUGAACACUAGAUGUUGGGGGAUCGACCCCUCCGGUGUCGUAGCUAACGCGUUAAGUGUUCCGCUGGGGAGUACGCACGCAGUGUGACUCAAAGGAUUGACGGGCCCGCACAAGC
rnacentral:rRNA from 1 species